rnacentral:rRNA from 1 species
UACGUAGGGGGCUAGCGUUGUUCGGAAUUACUGGGCGUAAAGCGCACGUAGGCGGUUUGGAAAGUUGGGUGUGAAAUCCCGGGGCUCAACCCCGGAACUGCCUUCAAGACUCCCAGUCUGGAGUCCGAGAGAGGUGAGUGGAAUUCCGAGUGUAGAGGUGAAAUUCGUAGAUAUUCGGAGGAACACCAGUGGCGAAGGCGGCUCACUGGCUCGGUACUGACGCUGAGGUGCGAAAGCGUGGGGAGCAAACAGG